AUACGGAGGGUGCAAGUGUUACUCGGAAUCACUGGGCGUAAAGCGCGCGCAGGCGGGCUGAUAAGUUGGAUGUGAAAGCCUACGGCUCAACCGUAGAACUGCAUCCAAAACUGUCAGUCUAGAGUCUGGGAGGGGAAGAUGGAAUUAGUUGUGUAGGGGUAAAAUCCGUAGAGAUAACUAGGAAUACCAAAAGCGAAGGCGAUCUUCUGGAACAGUACUGACGCUGAGGCGCGAAAGCGUGGGGAGCAAACAGAAUUAGAAACCCCAGUAGUCC
rnacentral:rRNA from 1 species